AUUGAACGCUGGCGGCAGGCCUAACACAUGCAAGUCGAACGAGUGGCGGACGGGUGAGUAAUGUCUGGGAAACUGCCCGAUGGAGGGGGAUAACUACUGGACACGGUAGCUACUACCGCAUACCAUCGGAUGUGCCCAGAUGGGAUUAGCUAGUCGUUGGGGUAACGGCUCUCCUAGGCGACGAUCCCUAGCUGGUCUGAGAGGAUGAACAGCCACACUGGAACUUAGACACGGUCAAGACUCCUACGGGAGGCAGCAGUGGGGAAUAUUGCACAAUGGGCGCAAGCCUGAUGCAGCCAUGCCGCGUGUAUGAAGAAGGCCUUCGGGUUGUAAAGGACUUUCAGCGAGGAGGCGUUACUCGCAGAAGAAGCACCGGCUAACUCCGUGCCAGCAGCCGCGGUAAUAC
rnacentral:rRNA from 1 species